rnacentral:lncRNA from 1 species
UCCGAGGUUAGGGAGACCAAGGUCGGGGGUGAGGCUAGGAAGGCUUUCAAUUUGUCAAAGACCUACCUGCGCCUCUUCGUUCCAGUGGAACUGAUCGGACUUCUUCAGUAGCUUGUAUAAGGGCAUGCUGUGCUUCCCAAGCUGCGAGAUGAAGCGACUUAGGGAGGCCAAGCACCCCAUCAGCUUCUGAGCACCCUUGAGGAGGGUGAUUGGCCCUAAGUUCCUGAUGGCCAUGAUCUUCUUCAGGUU